AAUGACCUCGGUAACGGCCGCUGUUGAUGGAACAUCAAUAUCCAGAGGUUUCAGUGGCUCAGACUGCACCUUCAGAGACGAUGAGAAGAAAUCCUCCAGUCACCCGGACUCGUCCACCUCCGGACACAACACCUACACCAUCCCCAGCCCCACCGAUGUUCAGAACACUGCAGGUAGACCAGAACCUCUGGGUUUUAAGCUGGAUGAGAGACAGAGACUCGCCCGAGAGAGACGAGAGGAGCGGGAGAAACAGAACGGUAUGAAACAGGAGUGUGUUUUAAUCCUGUGCAUGCGU
rnacentral:lncRNA from 1 species